rnacentral:rRNA from 1 species
AUGUAUAGGUAAAACUAAAUGUAUUUUUUAAUAGUAAUACAUAUUCGAUUUAUUCGUAUAAAGUUCUAGAUAGAAUUAUGAUAAUGACAUUGUCUAUCUAUAAGUCUUGGCCAAACUACGUGCCAGCAGCCGCGGUAAGACGUAAAAGACUAGUGUUAUUCAUCUUUAAUAGGUUUAAAGCGUACCUAGACGGUAAAUCAAGCCUUAGGGGGACUAAUUUAACUAGAGUUAGAUGUAAGGGUGCAUAAACGUACUGUUGUGUGUAGAGAUGAAAUUCUUUUAUACCAGAUUAUUGGCACGGGUUUAGGCGAAAGCAUCACCUUAUGUAAUAACUGACGUUGAGGGACGAAGGCUUUGUGUCGCUAACAGGAUUAGAUACCCUAGUAGUCUAAGCAGAAAAUGAUGAGUGUCAUAGGUUAAGUUAAAUAUUAUUUGGUCUAUAAAUGAAAGUGUAAGCACUCCACCUCAAGAGUAAUUUGGCAACAUUGGAAUUGAAAUCAUUAGACCGUUUCUGAAACCAGUAGUGAAGUAUGUUGUUUAAUUAGAUAAUACACAAAGAACCUUACCACAAUUUGAAUAUUUUACAAGUGUUGCACGGCUGUCUUCAGUUAAUGUCGUGAGAUUUUGGUUAGUUCCAUUUAAUUAACGUAAACCCUUACUUUAUUUUAUAUAAUAUAAAGUUGUUCGCCGCUA